GCACGGGGAGCUGCGCAGGUGAGGAAGAGGCCGCGCAGGUCGCCGGCGCUCGGCCGCGCGGGGAAGAGGCAGCGUGCGCGCUGCUGCCCGCCUGCACAGGAGCCAACGGAGAGGAGAGCUCGUGGGGGAGAGAGAUGACAGAGAGAUAGGGGGAGAUAAGACAGAGAGAGAAAAGAGAUGUGGUUGGGAAGAGAGAUCGGGAGAGAUAAGAGAUUGAGAGAGAAAAGAGACCGGGGGAGAUAAACGGCCAGGAGCGCGACACGUCAUCGAUCCGUGGCGCGGUCACACGGAUCGGUGACGUGGCCAGGAGCUUUACCGGAGACUAGGCCGCCGGAAAAAGUAAUACAAUCUUUGCCGGAGGCUAGGCCGCCGGGAAAGUUUUUUUUUUCUUUUUUUUCUACAUGUAUAUAUUUGACGAGGUUUGUCCUAUUUUAAUUUUGUGCAUUGACCUAAAAAAUUUAUUCCAGGCUUGUAUACACAUAACAUGGUAACUUACCAAAACUUGCUAAUUUUAGAUAAAGUUUUAGUAUUAUUUCAUAUUUUCCUAAUAAACGGCUCUAAAAAAUGAAAAAUAAUUAUUUUUACAUAGAGAGUGAUGAUUUUAAUUCACAUUACUCAUCAUUAGCACUAAAUGAAACCAUAGUAAAAGAAUAUACUCAAAAAGUGAAAAAACAUAUUGCAAAACUUGGUUCGGUACUCAAAUUGGACGUUCGGGUGCUAAGUUUGGGAACUUAUACGUAGAUGUCGCAAUUUGUGAAUCAUGUACCAUUUUUAUUUUUUAUUUGUACCUGUAAUUUUUACCACAAGUUUAUAUACCCAUAAAACGACACCAUG
rnacentral:lncRNA from 1 species